GYYAAGAUUAGCCAUGCAUGUCUAAGUAUAAGCAACUUGUACUGUGAAACUGCGAAUGGCUCAUUAAAUCAGUUAUCGUUUAUUUGAUAGUACCUUACUACAUGGAUACCUGUGGUAAUUCUAGAGCUAAUACAUGCUAAAAACCCCGACUUCAGGAAGGGGUGUAUUUAUUAGAUAAAAAACCAACGCCCUUCGGGGCUCCUUGGUGAAUCAUAAUAACUUAACGAAUCGCAUGGCCUUGCGCCGGCGAUGGUUCAUUCAAAUUUCUGCCCUAUCAACUUUCGAUGGUAGGAUAGUGGCCUACCAUGGUGGCAACGGGUAACGGGGAAUUAGGGUUCGAUUCCGGAGAGGGAGCCUGAGAAACGGCUACCACAUCCAAGGAAGGCAGCAGGCGCGCAAAUUACCCAAUCCCGAUACGGGGAGGUAGUGACAAUAAAUACUGAUACGGGGCUCUUUUGGGUCUCGUAAUUGGAAUGAGAACAAUUUAAAUCCCUUAACGAGGAACAAUUGGAGGGCAAGUCUGGUGCCAGCAGCCGCGGUAAUUCCAGCUCCAAUAGCGUAUAUUAAAGUUGUUGCAGUUAAAAAGCUCGUAGUUGAACCUUGGGCCUGGCUGGCCGGUCCGCCUCACCGCGAGUACUGGUCCGGCUGGGCCUUUCCUUCUGGGGAACCUCAUGGCCUUCACUGGCUGUGGGGGGAACCAGGACUUUUACUGUGAAAAAAUUAGAGUGUUCAAAGCAGGCCUUUGCUCGAAUACAUUAGCAUGGAAUAAUAGAAUAGGACGUGUGGUUCUAUUUUGUUGGUUUCUAGGACCGCCGUAAUGAUUAAUAGGGAUAGUCGGGGGCGUCAGUAUUCAGCUGUCARAGGUGAAAUUCUUGGAUUUGCUGAARACUAACUACUGCGAAAGCAUUCGCCAAGGAUGUUUUCAUUAAUCAGGAACGAAAGUUAGGGGAUCGAAGACRAUCARAWACCGUCSUARUCUUAACCAUAAACUAUGCCGACWAGGGAUCGGACGGGAAUUCUWUAUGACCCGUUCGGCMCCUUWCVAGAAAUCAAGUUUUUGGUUYUGGGGGGRAWUWUGGUCGCAAGGSUGAACUAARAAUKAMGGAAGGCACCCMMAGGSCGGAMCSGSGCCUWUUUGAMYYYMMCACGGGAAACYCACCVGUCMGAACAAWAGAUKMMGAUUKAAGCYYYUACUGKWYUUUUGGADGUGAKUKCSAUGGGSCGCAUUCCUG
rnacentral:rRNA from 1 species